AAACGGGGUGAUUAGGGAUCCAGGGGUGAAUAGGGAUAAAAUCAAAAUUGAACCUGAGACGAGAAAUUAAUUUGCUUACCAUAGAUUACUACAUACUUUUUGGAAGAAAAUCGUAGUAGAAUAUAUACUCUCUAGGUUGGCAGCAUUUGUUUAACAUGAAGUCAAGCAAUUCGGCGUAAGAUUCACUACUGAAGUUGUUGCUCUGUUACCGGUGUUUUUUUGUGGUUCUAAACUUUCGAGAUAAAUAUAUUUUUUUAGAACUAUUUGAGCUAGUUUAGUUUUAUUACGGUAUAUUAGUUAUUUCUAGAGACGUUACAUAAAGGAUAACAUCUAUUUUUGGACAACGCCGCGUGAUUACCAAACUAGUCGAAACACAAAUUAUAAAAAAUAUGACGAUUCUGUAAUAGAAAUAGCACUACACGAGUACAAUAGCUCUAACCUUUCCUUUAAAGAUGUUUCACGGAAAUACGAUAUACUGAAAUCAGUCCUGCAUCGGCACAACACCCGUGUCAUGAAAAAACAAGGAGGCCAAACUGCCCUAAGCCGGGCUGAAGAAGCGUACUUAGUAGAGUACGUAAAUGUAUGUUCAGAAUGGGGAUAUCCUCUAGAACCCAUUGAUUUUAGAUUGCUGAUAAAAGGAUACCUGGAUAAAAUGGGAGUUGAUAUCAAAAGGUUCAAAAAUAAUUUGCCAGGUCCUGAUUUUAUGUCAUGUUUUCUUAAAAGGCAUAAAAAUAAAAUUAGCAAAAGACUCAGUCAAAAUACAAAGAGAGCAAGAGCAGCUGUUUCACCAGAAACCAUCGAUGAAUAUUUUAGAAAACUUGAAACGUCUCUUCGAGGCACACCACCUGCUAACAUUGAUAAUUACGAUGAGACCAACCUCAGCGAUGACCCAGGACGUCAGAGUGCUGGUUAAGAGAACAGUCAAAUACCCUGAAAGGGUAAUGAACCAUACAAAGGGUUCCACAUCUCUUAUGAUGACUUCUGCAGCUGACGGCACUCUUCUACCCCCAUAUGUUGUAUAUAAAUUGCAAAAUAUGUACGAUACGUGGCGGCAAAAUGGACAUAAAUAUUGUAGGUACAACUGCACACCUUCCGGCUCGUUCGAUGGUAAUAUUUUCCAGGACUGGGUUUGAACUAUUGCAAUGCCGUAUUUCAGUGAUAAAAUUGGAUCUAAAAUUUUUAUAGGGAGAUGAUAACUACUGCCCAGAGGACUGUCAAUAACUGACCAGUCACAUAAAAGAGCCAAAGAUGGAGUUACCAAAGUCAAGUCAAGAGCAUUAGGACGCCAAGAUGGAGAUCCUAUUGUGGUAGCUUGACCAUUAUUCAGAAUAACAAGACCAUUCUCAUUUAUAACCUCUAAAACAUCUUUACCUCGAGGCAAUGUAUCAACACAUCCCCACAACAUGUGAUGAGCAUUGAAAUCACCUGCAAAUAUCAUUGGCUCUGGAAUGGACUUAAUUAAACUGUUUAAAUUGUUUUUAUUAAAUGGAGAGUUUGAAUUGGAAGGACUGUAAAAACUCACAAUACUCAGUUCUUUGUUAUUAAUUUUAAUUUUAAUGCAAACAUUUUGUAGAGCACUAUCAUAAUAUGUAUUUAUGUUAGAAAAUGUGAUAUUAUUAUGAAUAAAAAUUGCUACACCAUUGUGUUUAUUACCACAAUCAUUCCUUAUUGU